AGAAAUUAAGAGAGAGCAACAAUGGCUCUAAAGUUCUUAUUCACCUUCACCACCAUCUUCCUCAUUGUCACCAAUGCCCUCAUCCCUACAGCUGUGGCGCGAUUUCCACCUUCGCCAACUAUCCCUAGCGCAAUCAAGAAAUUUAGUAAUCCAAGUAGCGAAGGCGAAAAAGUAAUCUUUGAACAGCCUCUCGGCCUUACUUCCAUCCGCCCUGCCUUCCAGCCUGCUUGUCAGAGAACAACGAAAGCUCCGUAAUAAUAGUACGCAACUGCAGGCUCUCGACCGACUAUUGCUCUAAUAAAUACACAGUUUCGUUGUAAGGGCCUGCUGUAACUGUAUGUUCGUAUUACUUGCUCUCUACAUGCUCUACUUUCCAAGGAUUGUCUCCAUCUCGAUAGCAAAUUUUAUACAUACAUGUGUAUGUUUGAUGAA